UACGUAGGGAGCAAGCGUUGUCCGGAAUCAUUGGGCGUAAAGCGCGCGUAGGUGGCCUCAUAAGUCCGCUGUGAAAGUCAAAGGCUCAACCUUUGAAAGCCGGUGGAUACUGUGAGGCUAGAGUACGGAAGAGGCGAGUGGAAUUCCUGGUGUAGCGGUGGAAUGCGCAGAUAUCAGGAGGAACACCAAUAGCGAAGGCAGCUCGCUGGGACGUUACUGACACUGAGAAGCGAAAGCAUGGGGAGCGAACAGG
rnacentral:rRNA from 1 species